GCGGAAGAGCGUUCUGGAGGACACCACCGGCGGCGGAUCGAAGUUAGGGGACGAGGAAGAAUUCCCUGCUGGGAAGGAAAGUCGAUCGGUCUACCUGGGCCUCUCACCAUGGCGAGUUCCCUGAGCAACAGGUUUCACGACCAACUCAGGCUCAGCUCUCCAAAGAAGUUAUACAAAUGGCCAACGAACACAUGAAAAGAUGCUCAACAUGACUGGUCCCGGAGAAAAUGCAAAUCAAAACCAUGAGAUACCACCUCAUAACCCAUCAGAACAGCUACUAUCAAAAAGUAAAGAAGAAGAAGUUGGUGAGGAUGUGCAGAAAAUGGAAACCUUGGGUACUUCUGAUGGGAAUGUAAAGUGGUAUAAUCACUAUGGAGAAUAGUAUGGCAGUACCUAAAAAAAGUUAAACAGUUUUCAAAUGACCCAGCAUUCCAGUUCUGGGUAUAUACAGAAAAGAAUUGAAAGCAGAGUCUCAAAGAGGUAUCUGUACUUCCAUGUUCAUAACAGCAUUGUUAACAAUAGACAAAAGGUGGAAUCAACCCAUUCAACAGAUGAAUGGAUAAAUAAAAUGUACAUGCAAUGGAAUAUUUUCAGCCUUAAAAAGGAAAGAAAUUCUGGCACAUACUACAAUUGUGAGGACAUUCUGAGUAAGUCAGUAACAAAAAGACAUACUAUAUGACUCUAUUUAUAUGAAGUACCUAUAGUAGUCAAAUUCACAGAGAUAGAAAGUAGAAUGAUGAUAGCUAGGGACUGGGGGGAGUGGAAAUGGGGAAUUGUUUAAUGGGUAUCAGUUUCAGUUUUGCAAGAUGAAGAGUUCUGGAGAUUGCACAAAAAAGUGAAUGUACUUAACGCUGCUAAACUGCUCACUUAAUGGUUAAGAUGAGGAUUUUAUGUUAUGUGUAUUUUACCACAAUUUAAA